UUGAACGCUGGCGGCAUGCCUUACACAUGCAAGUCGAACGGCAGCAUGAUCUAGCUUGCUAGAUUGAUGGCGAGUGGCGAACGGGUGAGUAAUACAUCGGAACGUGCCCUGUAGUGGGGGAUAACUAGUCGAAAGAUUAGCUAAUACCGCAUACGACCUGAGGGUGAAAGUGGGGGACCGCAAGGCCUCAUGCUAUAGGAGCGGCCGAUGUCUGAUUAGCUAGUUGGUGAGGUAAAGGCUCACCAAGGCGACGAUCAGUAGCUGGUCUGAGAGGACGAUCAGCCACACUGGGACUGAGACACGGCCCAGACUCCUACGGGAGGCAGCAGUGGGGAAUUUUGGACAAUGGGCGAAAGCCUGAUCCAGCAAUGCCGCGUGUGUGAAGAAGGCCUUCGGGUUGUAAAGCACUUUUGUCCGGAAAGAAAUGGCUCUGGUUAAUACCUGGGGUCGAUGACGGUACCGGAAGAAUAAGGACCGGCUAACUACGUGC
rnacentral:rRNA from 1 species